rnacentral:rRNA from 1 species
GCGAACGCUGGCGGCAGGCUUAACACAUGCAAGUCGAGCGCCCGUAGCAAUACGGGAGCGGCAGACGGGUGAGUAACACGUGGGAACGUGCCCUUUGGUUCGGAACAACACAGGGAAACUUGUGCUAAUACCGGAUAAGCCCUUACGGGGAAAGAUUUAUCGCCAAAGGAUCGGCCCGCGUCUGAUUAGCUAGUUGGUGGGGUAACGGCCCACCAAGGCGACGAUCAGUAGCUGGUCUGAGAGGAUGAUCAGCCACACUGGGACUGAGACACGGCCCAGACUCCUACGGGAGGCAGCAGUGGGGAAUAUUGGACAAUGGGGGAAACCCUGAUCCAGCCAUGCCGCGUGAGUGAUGAAGGCCCUAGGGUUGUAAAGCUCUUUCGGUGGGGAAGAUAAUGACGGUACCCACAGAAGAAGCCCCGGCUAACUUCGU